CCUACGGGGUGCAGCAGUGGGGAAUAUUGGACAAUGGGCGAAAGCCUGAUCCAGCCAUGCCGCGUGUGUGAAGAAGGCCUUCGGGUUGUAAAGCACUUUCAGUGGGGAAGAAAGCCUUGGGGCUAAUACCCUCGAGGAAGGACAUCACCCACAGAAGAAGCACCGGCUAACUCCGUGCCAGCAGCCGCGGUAAUACGGAGGGUGCGAGCGUUAAUCGGAAUUACUGGGCGUAAAGCGCGCGUAGGCGGUCUGAUAAGCCGGUUGUGAAAGCCCCGGGCUCAACCUGGGAACGGCAUCCGGAACUGUCAGGCUAGAGUGCAGGAGAGGAAGGUAGAAUUCCCGGUGUAGCGGUGAAAUGCGUAGAGAUCGGGAGGAAUACCAGUGGCGAAGGCGGCCUUCUGGACUGACACUGACGCUGAGGUGCGAAAGCGUGGGUAGCAAACAGGAUUAGAUCCCCCGGUAGUC
rnacentral:rRNA from 1 species